rnacentral:rRNA from 1 species
UUGUUUUGUAUAUAUAUGANGUUGUGAUGCGGGUUACUCUNUGUAGUAUUGCUUGCACAUACUUUUAUAUUUAUUCGCAAAAUAUGGUCGGCGUGCACUUCUCCCCUAGUAGAACGUCGCGACCCGUUGGGUGUUGGUCUACGACCCAAGUGGGAGACUUU